rnacentral:rRNA from 1 species
GAUGAACGCUGGCGGCGUGCUUAACACAUGCAAGUCGAACGGUGAAGGCGGAGCUUGCUCUGCUGGAUCAGUGGCGAACGGGUGAGUAACACGUGAGCAAUCUGCCCCUGACUCUGGGAUAAGCGCUGGAAACGGCGUCUAAUACUGGAUACGAGCUGCGAAGGCAUCUUCAGCAGCUGGAAAGAACUUCGGUCAGGGAUGAGCUCGCGGCCUAUCAGCUUGUUGGUGAGGUAACGGCUCACCAAGGCGUCGACGGGUAGCCGGCCUGAGAGGGUGACCGGCCACACUGGGACUGAGACACGGCCCAGACUCCUACGGUAGGCAGCAGUGGGGAAUAUUGCACAAUGGGCGAAAGCCUGAUGCAGCAACGCCGCGUGAGGGACGACGGCCUUCGGGUUGUAAACCUCUUUUAGCAGGGAAGAAGCGAAAGUGACGGUACCUGCAGAAAAAGCGCCGGCUAACUACGUG